rnacentral:misc_RNA from 1 species
GAUGAAGAACGCAGCGAAAUGCGAUACGUAGUGUGAAUUGCAGAAUUCCGUGAAUCAUCGAAUCUUUGAACGCAUAUUGCGCUGGCGGCUUCGGCCAACAGCAUGUCUGCCUCAGCGUCGGGUUAAUAUCACCCCCCUCAUCCCACAUCUUUGAGAAAAGUUGUGUGUUGAGUAGGGGAGAAAGACUUGGCUGUUCCAAACGCACGAAAUUCUUUAUGAAUUUUUUGCUUGGAUCAGCUGAAGAACAGAGUCUAGCUCAAGGACCCGUCAUGGGCCGCAACUGGGUAGGCACUGCGCCUUUAUCGGCGCAUUUGCUCUCGAGUUGUUGGCUUGGGACCCUGUGGCUUGGCCCUCCCUCAGGAAUUUGACCCUUCAUUAUCUCGACCUGAGCUCAGGCAAGAACACCCGCUGAACUUAAGCAUAUCAAUAAGCGGAGGA